rnacentral:rRNA from 1 species
AUAGCGUAUAUUAAAGUUGUUGCAGUUAAAAAGCUCGUAGUUGAACUUCAGGUCUGGUUGGGCGGUCCGCCUCACGGCGUGUACUGUCUGGCCGGUCCUUACUUCUUGGUGAGCCGGCAUGCCCUUUACUGGGUGUGUCGGGGAACCAGGACUUUUACCUUGAGAAAAUUAGAGUGUUCAAAGCAGGCCUACGCCCGAAUACAUUAGCAUGGCAUAAUAAAAUAGGACGUGCGGUUCUAUUUUGUUGGUUUCUAGAGUCGCCGUAAUGAUUAAUAGGGAUAGUUGGGGGCAUUAGUAUUCCGUUGCUAGAGGUGAAAUUCUUGGAUUUACGGAAGACUAACUUCUG